UACGUAGGGUGCAAGCGUUGUCCGGAAUUAUUGGGCGUAAAGGGCUCGUAGGCGGUUUGUCGCGUCGGGAGUGAAAUCCACUGGCUUAACUGGUGGCUUGCUUUCGAUACGGGCAGACUGGAGGUAUGCAGGGGAGAACGGAAUUCUUGGUGUAGCGGUGAAAUGCGCAGAUAUCAGGAGGAACACCGGUGGCGAAGGCGGGUCUCUGGGCCGUAACUGACGCUGAGGAGCGAAAGCGUGGGGAGCGAACAGG
rnacentral:rRNA from 1 species